rnacentral:rRNA from 1 species
GAUGAACGCUGGCGGCGUGCUUAACACAUGCAAGUCGAACGGAAAGGCCCAAGCUUGCUUGGGUACUCGAGUGGCGAACGGGUGAGUAACACGUGGGUGAUCUGCCCUGCACUUCGGGAUAAGCCUGGGAAACUGGGUCUAAUACCGGAUAGGACCACAUUUUGGAUGGUGUGGUGGAAAGUUUUUCGGUGUGGGAUGAGCUCGCGGCCUAUCAGCUUGUUGGUGGGGUAAUGGCCUACCAAGGCGUCGACGGGUAGCCGGCCUGAGAGGGUGUACGGCCACAUUGGGACUGAGAUACGGCCCAGACUCCUACGGGAGGCAGCAGUGGGGAAUAUUGCACAAUGGGCGCAAGCCUGAUGCAGCGACGCCGCGUGGGGGAUGACGGCCUUAGGGUUGUAAACUCCUUUCGCUAGGGACGAAGCGUUAUGUGACGGUACCUGGAGAAGAAGCACCGGCUAACUACGUG